rnacentral:rRNA from 1 species
UGGUGGGGGUCUUACCAUGCAGUCGAGCGAUGAAGUUUCUUCGGAAAUGGAUUAGCGGCGAACGGGUGAGGAACACGUGAAGAAUCUGCCCUCCACUUUGGGAUAACACCGGGAAACCGGUGCUAAUACCGAAUAUUGAAACAUAAGUGGCAUCACUGAGUUUUGAAAGAAUUUCGGUGGAGGAUGACUUCGCGGCCGAUCAGCUAGUUGGUGAGGUAAUGGCUCACCAAGGCAACGACGGGUAGCCGGCCUGAGAGGGCGACCGGCCACACUGGGACUGAGACACGGCCCAGACUCCUACGGGAGGCAGCAGUGGGGAAUAUUGGGCAAUGGAGGAAACUCUGACCCAGCGACGCCGCGUGCGGGAUGAAGGCCUUCGGGUUGUAAACCGCUUUCAGUAGGGAAGAAGCGAAAGUGACGGUACCUACAAAAGAAGCACCGGCUAACUAUGUGCCAGCAGCCGCGGUAAUACAUAGGGUGCAAGCGUUGUCCGGAAUUAUUGGGCGUAAAGAGCUCGUAGGUCGUUUGUUACGUCGGAUGUGAAAACCUGAGGCUCAACCUCAGGCCUGCAUUCGAUACGGGCAAACUAGAGUUUGGUAGGGGAGACUGGAAUUCCUGGUGUAGCGGUGGAAUGCGCAGAUAUCAGGAGGAACACCAAUGGCGAAGGCAGGUCUCUGGGCCAAUACUGACACUGAGGAGCGAAAGUCUGGGGAGCGAACAGGAUUAGAUACCCUGGUAGUCCAGACCGUAAACGGUGGGCACUAGUUGUGGGAACCUUCCACGGUUUCUGCGACGCAGCUAACGCAUUAAGUGCCCCGCCUGGGGAGUACGAUCGCAAGAUUAAAACUCAAAGGAAUUGACG